AGCGCCGGUCAGUUUUUCAGUCAGCUGUCAAACACGCUGCAGGAAUUACAGCGGCACAAACACACACGGAUCUUCACUUUAAACACUAUGUGAUUGGGUUUUUUACUACAUUUCUGGAAAUUUCGCAGAUUUAAAUGCGCCUGGAGCUCAGGAGGAGACUGUUGCAGGAUGAUUCCUGUGGUUCCUGUGGAGUCCUGCACGCAUGUCCUGGCAGAGUUUGACUGUCUGGACCCCCUCCUUUCCGCCCUGCGACUGGACUCGGGACGAAUCAAAUGCACAUGUGUCUCCGUGUCCAGGAAGUGGUUGGCUCUGGGCACGUCUGCCGGAGGGCUUCAUCUCAUUCAGAGAGACGGCUGGAAGCAGAAACUCAUUCUCACACAUAAAGAAGGCUCAGUCACGCAGGUCUCAUGCUGCCCCCAUGAUGAAGACUUUAUCGCUGUAGCAACGAGUCAGGGUUUGGUGGUGGUGUGGGAGCUGCAUUUAGAGCGGCGUGGCCGUCCUGAGCGCGCCGCUGUGUCCUGGGAGCACCGCGGACAGACGGUAACAUCUCUGUGCUGGGACACCGCAGCCCUCCGAGUGUUUGCCGGAGAUGUGGGAGGGAAAGUGUCCUGCAUCCGGGCUGGGUCAUCUAAACUCGGGAAGGGCUCUGCGUUUGUGAUCUUCCCAAUUCAGACCAUCACCACAGUGGAUUCACGUGUCGUUCAGCUGGGCUACUCGGACGGACACCUGGUGGUCUCGUCUCUCAGCCGCUGCUACCUGUGUGACACAGAGAGGGAGAAGUUCUGGCGUGUGGGUAACAAAGAGCGAGAUGGAGAGUUUGGGGCAUGUUUUCUCCUGCAGGGUCCGGCGGGUCAGCGGGGUCAGGCGCUGUUGUACUGCGCCCGGCCCGGCUCCCGCAUAUGGGAGGCCAGUUUCAGUGGAGAGGUCCUGAGCACACACCAGUUUAAACAGCUGCUGGCCUGCCCACCGCUGCCCCUCGUCUCUUACAAGAAUGAGCCACAUUUCAACCCUGCACAGACGAGUCCACAGUCUCUGGCUUUCCCAAGACUCCUCCAGUUUGGUGAUCAAAACCUGCUCACCUGGACGGAUUCGGCCAUCUACAUCUUCACCCCUCACAGCGGUCAGGUUCUGCUAUGGACAGAGGUCAAAGAUGUAGUGGAGAUUUCAGUUUUCCGUAAUGAGCUAUUUUGUCUGUAUGGUGAUGGACGUUUGUCUCACCUGUCCCUGAUGUCACCUGAGCGAUGUGUGGAGCGUCUGAUGAAGAGGGAGAACUGGAUGCUCGCCACCACCGUCUGUUGCAUGUUUCAGCAUGUCAUUAUUACAUCCAGGGCCAGGAAGUCCCUCCCCAUUGAUCGGUUAGAGCAACUUAAGGCUCAGCUAAACUCCGCCUCCCAGCAGCAGCUGAUUGGUCAGCUGGAGGAAGUGAUCAGCAAACUGGAGCCACUGGACUCCGCCUGCAGCAGCCGCAGGAGCAGUAUUUCCUCACACGAGAGCUUCAACGUUCUGGACUGCGGCAUCUACCGCGUCAUCAGCCGAAGAGGCAGCCAAUCAGACGAUGACGCCAACUCCCUCGCCAACCAAUCGAUGCUUGAGGAGGAGCGGCUGAAGGAGUUCGGUUUCACUGAGGAGGAGCAGGUGGAGAAUGACUCUCAGUCUGUGCGUGGAGAGGGCGACAGGUCAGACAUCAGCUUGCAGUUUCUGCCGCUGCCUUUCCGCUCAAAACCCCCACGAGUCGCCCUGCAGGCUGUUCGAGACAGUGUCUCGAGCUUUGUGAAAAAGACCACCGAGAAGAUCAACACGCUUCAGAUGAACGCAGACCUGUGGCCUCGGCCUGACCUCAGGGAAGGGGUUCAAGGGGAGGUCACGGCUACAGUGACCCCUCUUCCAGAAGAAGUUGAGCAUGAAUUGAACGCUGAGCAGUCCAGCUCGGAGUCUGAGCUGCAGGAGCUGAGGGCCGCCACAAAGAAAGCCAUCUCUCAGAUCCAGGACCCCAUGGUUUUACUGGACCCUGUCUGUCUAAGUGAUGUACUUCGAGAGUGGGCUCCUGUUCUGGAGAGGGUCCUGGGUCCGGAGGAUCACACCAGACAUACAGAAAUAACAACUCAAGAGGAGAAGACUCUGGAGGAGGAAGAGCUUGUUUCAUCAAUGUCCUGCUGUGUCGUGGUUCAGCCAGAUAUCUACUCUGAUAACCUGGAUGAAUCUGCCACCCUUACUGAAGAAGAGGACCUUGGAGAGAGCACCCCUUGUUCCACCGCCCCAGUCAGAGCACUGUUCCCACCUCUGGCGAAUCAUGUCGAACUAAUACAGCUGUUUUCCCCCAAACCUCUGCCCCCUGACCUCCAGGCUGACCUCUCGCAGCUGGCCUGUCUUUAUCUGGAGAUGGGCUGUCCCGGUAGAGGAGGCAUCGAAAGCGUGUGUGUGUUCCUGAGGAGGUACUUCUUCCUGUUGGACCAGGAGAGAGUGAGGAAGAUGUGUAUGCUGCGGUACAGAGAGCACCGCGAGGUGAUGAAGGCGUAUAUUGCUGGCAUGCUGGAGUUCACUCAGGCCAGUAAGGUGGUGGAGGUGAUUCAGAAGGGCGAUCUGCUGAAGUCUCUGCGCAGUCUGAGAGAACUUCAGCCCUGGAACAUACCUCUGUUACUCUCACACCUGUACAGACUCUAUGAUAAACACGGAGAGGUGGCUGUUCGUGCCUACCCGCAGUUCUAUCCCACAAUCCUCCCCUCUGACGUCAUGGUCAUGGCUUUACCCAGCCACUUCCUGCCUUAUCUGGACAAUCUGGUCCAAUCACGAGCCGAGCAGCAGCGGUUGUCUUUCUUGGGCUCUCUUCUCCAGCCAGAAACUCUGCGACAGGAUUGGCUGAAACUGGCGCUAUCCCAUGAUGCCCCACAAAAGGAUGACACACUCACUGCUGACGGACAGCCCAGGUGGCACUCUCAUUUCUUCAGCUGGGGUUAUGGGCGUCUACUGUUUCUGCUGAUUCGUCUGCCUGCUGAUCUGGCCUCCAAACAGAAGAUGCUGGAGAUGUGCAGAACUCAUGGGUAUUGGAUGGGUUACCUGUACCUGUGCAGAGAGCUGCAGCGGCGGCCCGAGGCUUUCAGUGCCAUCUGCAGACUGGACGACAUGACACUACUAGAGGAGGAUGAUGGUAUUGUACCUCAGUCUCUGGAUGAGUGGGUGUUGCUUCUCCAGCUCUCCCAGCAAAUCAUUUCAAGCAAUGAAGCCCCGCCCACUUCAGCCCUGCCCAGCAGCCCCAAUGGAUCCUGUUCAGAUGUCACUAACGGCACAAGCGAUAGUUCUCCCGACCUAUCAGACAGUUCGACUGACUGGAGCAUUUGCAUCAGCCCGGAGAACAUCAUCCUGCGUCUGGUGCGGGUCUUCGGGCCGGACCAGGCCCUGACGGCCCUUCAGGAGCGUGGGAUACAGGUGGAUCUCAGUUCACGCUCCACGCUGGUCUGCGAUCUGCUUCGUAUGGCUGAGAAGCGGCAAAGAGCACUGAUUCAGACCAUGUUGGAGCGCUGUGACCGGUUUCUGUGGUCUCAGCACGCUUAAGACCUCUUAUGUCCACAUGAUCUCCACAUAUGCCUCCAGGACCCAGCGCUGCUCUCAGUCCGUGAGGCACGUGCUCCCAUCAGACGUGUGAAGCUAUCCACACUCGUCCCGAGUGAGAACAACAGCCUUUUAAAGUCAUCGAGCUGGAAUCCCCGAAGUUCUCCUCACUUUCCAAUUUCUCUUAUCAGACUUUCAGAACUGUGUGUUUUUCUCUGUUGCUCCGCUGACCUCUUUUCCAGGUGUGUCUUCUAUCAGAUCGUCCCUGUGCCAGCAGAAGUGUCAUCCGCAGGUGGGCAGAAAAAGACGGAUUACGGGAAACAUUGACAAUAAUCUCCUGACACUAAAUGUUAAAGGUCACCUAAAAAGGAAAAUUUGCUUAAAAUGUAUUCACUCUGAGGCCACUUGAGAUGAGUUUGUUUCUUUAUCAGAAAUGAUUUGGAAAUAUUUAGCAUUGUAUCUCUUGCUCAGCAAUGGAUGCUCUGCAGUGAAUGGGUGCCGUCAGAAUGAGAGUCCAAACAGCUGAUAAAAGCAUCUCAAUAAUUCAAAAGUAAUCCACAGUAAGACUCCAGUCCAUCAGUUUAUGUCUUGAGAAAUGAAAAACUGCAUGUUUGUAGGAAACAAAUCCAUCAAGGCAUUUUAAUUUUAAAACAUCAUAUAUUUAUAUAUGGUACUGAAGUAUACUUUAUAGAUCUAGUUAGUAUUGUUCUGCGUAGGGAAAAAAUAGAACUUUAGAAAUUUGUAGCUUCUUGAUUUCUAUAUAGUACAACAGUCAGUUACAUACAGGUUCACAGUAAGACAUCUGAAUUCCAUUAUUGUCAACUGAUUGAAAUAUUUGAUGGUGUUUUUCAGUGUAUUUGGGAUCUAGUUUCAUCCAGGAAGCUUUACGCAGAGCCAGAGAGCUGACAGACGCCGCGUGCACUAGUAGUAAUAUCCAAUACUGUACGUCACUUUAAUGAUUUAUUGUAGCAUUGUUUGACAGGUUGUAAUAUGUCAAAUGAUUUAUGGCUAUAUGACUCCUCUGUCACCCUGACUGCCAUGACAGUAGUGUGUGUAAAUCAAAAGAUCAAAACAGAUGUUAGAUCUGACAUUUAAUGGAUUUAUGAUGUUUUUAUGGAGUUCCUUCCUGGCCUGCAGCUAACGGUCAGCCUGGAGGUGUUGGGUUCUUCCUGAUUGUGGAUAAAUGGCUGAGCAGUGGGUGUGUAUUGACACCUUAAGAGGUUUGUUUGAUUUGUAUGUUAUAUGUUAAUGCCUAGUCACCAAUUUGUUCCUACCGGCUUGUCUACAUCCGCUUCUGAAUAAGGAAGGUUGUCAGGACGACUACCAAGAGGUGUAAAAUACUUGAGUAAUUUUACUUGAUUACUUGAGUAUUAUUUUGGGGGAUUUGUACUUUAUUCAAGUACAAUUUAAACUGACUACUUGUACUUUUACUUGAUUACAUUUCUGAAGAAAAACAGUACUUUUUAUUCCAUACAAUUUUAUUUCAUCUUGAAAAGUACAUUACAUUUUUAUUUUAUCUUAUGCACAUUAAAUAUGGUAAACGGAAGCUCAAACGGAAGCCUGAUCAAUGUUUUCACGCAUCAAGCACACAUUUCUACUUCGGUUAUGACUUUAAUCAGGUAAAUGUCUGGCUUCAAAAGUUCAGGAAGCAUGUUGAGGUAGCAAAGUUGCGUUUUCCCAAAAAAUGUUUAUUCAUUAUUCGUUCUGUUUUGAUAGCGCCGUUAGCUGUGUAAUAUAUUAGCUGAAUGCACAAGAUUGAGUGCAAAUAAAAUCAGUGAUGAGAAUUUAAAAACAAUUCAUAUUUUUGUGGGAAUAUUUGUUUUAAUUAAAUAAAAAUCUCCAAAAGUGUUUAAAUAAACAAUGUUUGUUAAAUUAAAUGUAAUUCAUGUUUAGUGAUGUUCUUACCAGGUGGAUAAGUUGAAUUUAUAAUAUGUCAUUAUAUGACAAAUUGAGUAGGAAUUAGGACUGUCAAUGAUUUUUUUUUAAAAAUCUUAAUAAUUACAUGAUUUGCUCAUUAAUUAAUCUAAUUAGUCACAAAUAAUUAUCAAUAUUUGCUGAGAAAAAACUCUAAAUGCCCGAAAUAAACAAUUAAAAGUUUAAUUAUCCUGUCAGACCGUGACGUUGAAUAGACAACACAAAAAAGUGGUCUUUCAAAAUGUUAAUGUUGUAUGUUUUAAUUCUAUGACUCUCCUCAUUAAUUUAACACAUUAUUGUAUUCUGUCUGCAAAAUGUUUCUAGCCUCUGCAUCACAUCUUGCUCUUCAAAGGGGUAGUUCACCCAAAAAUGAAAAUUCUCAUCAUUUACUGACCCUCGUGUCGUCCCAGAUGUUUAUGACUUUCUUUCUUAAGGUGAACACAAGCAAAGAUUUUUAGUCUGUAUAAUGCAAGGGGACAGAACCACUUCAGAAACCACACAAAGUGAACAUGACUGUCAAGUUUAAAAUAUUAGUGUCCUUCUUACAUAUGCCUAUAAUUUCACUUAAGACACUGUUUCAUUAUCAGGAGCUGCAUGAGUUAGUCAUAUUCACUUUGUGUAGUUUUUGAAGUGUCAUUUUGGGACGUCCUAUACACGUGAUUUUUUUUUUCUAAAACUCUUAGUUUGUGUUCAUCUGAUAAAUGAAAGUCAUAAGGAAUGGCAUGAGGGUGGAAAGGAUGGAGUUUCCUUUUAAUCCCUUUCCCUGUAUUUAUUUUAGUUUUUCCAGCUGUGCUGUAUUUUAAUUGCUGUUGUUUCAGUAGAUAUGUGUGUUGGACCUGUGCCAUUGCAAUUUGUUUCGUUUUCUCCCUUUAACCAAACUUCUGAAUGUCUGUCAGAAAAUAAAGUACUUCUACUAAUACUUGAGUAUAAUUUAAAGUUGUACUUUUUUUUUUACUUUUACUCAAGCAUGUUUUUGUACUUUUAAUUGAGUAAAAUUUUCACUAAGUAUCU